GCAACUCUGUCGAGUGGCGCACGGGUGAGUAACACGUAGGUAAUCUUCCCUCGAGUGGUGGAUAACCCUCCGAAAGGAGAGCUAAUACAGCAUGAGACCACGGCUUCGAAAGGAGCUGAGGUCAAAGCGGAGGAUCGCAAGACUUCGCGCUUGAGGAUGAGCCUGCGGCCCAUCAGGUAGUUGGCGGGGUAAUGGCCCACCAAGCCAUAGACGGGUAGCUGGUCUGAGAGGAUGAUCAGCCACACUGGAACUGAGACACGGUCCAGACUCCUACGGGAGGCAGCAGUGGGGAAUCUUGCGCAAUGGACGAAAGUCUGACGCAGCGACGCCGCGUGGGUGAUGAAGGCCUUCGGGUUGUAAAGCCCUGUGGGGAGGGACGAAUAAGUUCCGGUUAAUACCCGGAGCGAUGACGGUACCUCCUUAGCAAGCACCGGCUAACUCUGUGCCAGCAGCCGCGGUAAGACAGAGGGUGCAAACGUUGUUCGGAAUUACUGGGCGUAAAGCGCGUGUAGGCGGCUAUGCAAGUCGGAUGUGA
rnacentral:rRNA from 1 species